UGAGUAAUGUAUCGCUAACGUACCCCUGGGACGAGGAUAGCCAUCCGAAAGGAUGGGUAAUACUCGGUGACAUAACCGCAUGCAUAGCCGCGCCGAGGGAUCGGGCGAUAUUGCAUCAGCUAGUUGGUGAGGUAACGGCUCACCAAGGCGACGACGCAUAGCCGGACUAAGAGGUUGUUCGGCCACAUUGGGACUGAGACACUGCCCAUACUCCUACGGGGGGCUGCAGUAACGAAUCUUCCGCAAUGCACGAAAGUGUGACGGAGCGACGCCGCGUGUGGGAUGAAGUCCUUCGGGAUGUAAACCACUGUCAGGGGUAAGAAAUGAUCUACCCCAGAGGAAGGCACGGCUAACUCUGUGCCAGCAGCCGCGGUAAGACAGAGGUGCCGAGCGUUAGGCGGAAUCACUGGGCUUAAAGCGUGUGUAGGCGGACUGACAAGUACCUUGUGAAAUCCCACGGCUUAACCGUGGAACUGCUUGGUAUAC
rnacentral:rRNA from 1 species